CCCAAAUUGGGGACUAUGGGGGCACCAUCCGUGUGAAUUACAUCCACAAAUUUGGCAUCGCUGGGGUCCAAUCGGACUAAUUCAGGUGUGCCCUGAAAGCAAGGAGGAAGCGGGUGUUGACAUCUUUUGGAGACCAAGGCAAUAUAUGGAGGGGUCUUUCCGUAAUUCCUGACCAUGGGGAGUCAUCACUGAAGCAGCCGAGUCUUUCGUAGCAAACUUCUUUUCCUGCAAU
rnacentral:lncRNA from 1 species